GCUGUCUAAAACGAAAUAAAAUUUACAUAUCACAUUAAAUUUACCUUAUUGCACUUCAGAAAAAGAUAUCGGCGCCAAUACUUCUAAUCAAACAGCAAACUGUAGUUCGUGUUAUUCGUGGCGCUUACGCCGCUUAGCAACUGCUCACAGAAUGGAACUCUCCGAUAUUUAGCGUUGAUUUUCCUCCCAAGAUCAGCGCAACAGUCUUGUAAGACAGCUAAAUCAUUCACUGCAAA